UACGGGGGGAGCAAGCGUUGUUCGGAUUUACUGGGCGUAAAGGGCGCGUAGGCGGUCGUGACAAGUCACUUGUGAAAUCUCCGGGCUUAACUCGGAACGGUCAAGUGAUACUGUCGGACUAGAGUACAGAAGGGGCAACUGGAAUUCUCGGUGUAGCGGUGAAAUGCGUAGAUAUCGCUUGGAACGCCGAAGAUGAAAACAGGCUGCUGGGGUUGCGCCGACGCUGAGACACGAAGCCAGGGGAGCAAACGGGG
rnacentral:rRNA from 1 species